GUAAAAAAUACAAACCGCUUGUCGUUAUUGGCUUCUACCGUUUACCUCAUGUGUCUGACGUAACGUUCGUUUAAUGUAGUCCAAAAUGUAGUGUUUAAGUAAACCUUUUUUCACGGAGUGUGCUGGAGUGUCACGAAAGGUCGUAGGUAGUAUGCUUGCGUUUCCUUUCAAAAAAGAAACCUUGUUGUGUUACGAAACUAUCUUUUAAAAGUGACUACGGUAUUAUACCGGACUGUCCCCUGUUGCACGUAAUAGUAGGUACCCCCUCCAUAGGACUGAGACUAAAACGUCCUACUUGGGAAGAUUCUAACGAUUAGGUGUGGAAGUCAUUAAGGAAACGGUCGUUGAGACAGCGUGCAUAAGAAGGACACGGGACGCUGUGGCGUAAACGACGUAAAACGGUAAAAGGGCCCGUAGAAACCCCGUAGCGGUGCAAGACCCGUUCAGCAAGUGAACACGGGAAAUCAGAACGUCUACGACGUCUUGGAUGAGGAAAAACAGUAGGGGAGCAUGCUGCGGAAGAGAGAGCGUAAACAACCGGACGGCCUAAAAUAGAAGAAACAACCUCCUCGGUUGGGUCGGUCGCCUAACGAGACUGGCCUCGUGGAUAGAAGGACAAGACGCCAUCGACGUAGUAGUCGAUCCGGAACUUAAAUAUCGCGGAACGAGACUUGUGCUAGAAGGUCUGGGUACGGCAGGGAACGUAACAGUUUGCCAAAGUAGUGGUGUUCGCGAACCAACUUAUCUCGGUAAUUGCACAGUAUUCGAAGGUGUGAUCGUAGGGGAUCGGACUGGUUGAGGUCGCGGACGUGCAUGUAAGACAAUACAGACUUACAGUUUCAACAACAUGAUUAGAAUAGUGCGACUAUCACGACGUCCACAAGACCAUCAUACAGGGCGUGUAGGAAGCAAGUGGCAAAGUGCUACACGAAGAACCCUUAGGAUCAGUAAGGAUCCAUCAGGUAUUG
rnacentral:rRNA from 1 species